GAUGAACGCUGGCGGCGUGCCUAACACAUGCAAGUCGAGCGAAGCGCUUAAGUCAGAUUCUUCGGAUGAAGGCUUUUGUGACUGAGCGGCGGACGGGUGAGUAACGCGUGGGUAACCUGCCUUACACAGGGGGAUAACAGUUAGAAAUGACUGCUAAUACCGCAUAAGACCACAGUACUGCAUGGUACAGUGGUAAAAACUGAGGUGGUGUAAGAUGGACCCGCGUCUGAUUAGGUAGUUGGUGGGGUAACGGCCCACCAAGCCGACGAUCAGUAGCCGGCCUGAGAGGGUGGACGGCCACAUUGGGACUGAGACACGGCCCAG
rnacentral:rRNA from 1 species